UACGGGGGGAGCAAGCGUUGUUCGGAUUUACUGGGCGUAAAGGGCGCGUAGGCGGCCACCGCAAGUCAAUUGUGAAAUCUCCGGGCUUAACUCGGAAAGGUCAACUGAUACUGCGGGGCUAGAGUGCGGAAGGGGCAACUGGAAUUCUCGGUGUAGCGGUGAAAUGCGAAGAUAUCGAGAGGAACACCUGCGGCGAAGGCGGGUUGCUGGGCCGACACUGACGCUGAUGCGCGAAAGCCAGGGGAGCGAACGGG
rnacentral:rRNA from 1 species